GAUGAACGCUGGCGGCGUGCCUAAUACAUGCAAGUCGAGCGAACAGACGAGGAGCUUGCUCCUCUGACGUUAGCAGCGGACGGGUGAGUAACACGUGGAUAACCUACCUAUAAGACUGGGAUAACUUCGGGAAACCGGAGCUAAUACCGGAUAAUAUAUUGAACCGCAUGGUUCAAUAGUGAAAGACGGUUUUGCUGUAUCUUAUAGAUGGAUCUGCGCCGCAUUAGCUAGUUGGUAAGGUAACGGCUUACCAAGGCGACGAUGCGUAGCCGAACUGAGAGGGUGAUCGGCCACACUGGAACUGAGACACGGUCCAGACUCCUACGGGAGGCAGCAGUAGGGAAUCUGCCGCAAUGGGCGAAAGCCUGACGGAGCAACGCCGCGUGAGUGAUGAAGGUCUUCGGAGCGUAAAACUCUGUUAUUAGGGAAGAACAAAUGUGUAAGUAACUAUGCCCGUCUUGACGGUACCUAAUCAGAAAGCCACGGCUAACUACGUG
rnacentral:rRNA from 1 species